GUAGUCUCGCACAGAUGCAUAUCAAUAAGCGGAGGAAAAGAAACUAACAAGGAUUCCCCUAGUAACGGCGAGUGAAGCGGGAAGAGCUCAAAUUUGAAAUCUUAAAGGGUUUCCCUUUACGAAUUGUAGUUUAAAGAAGUGUUUUCUGUUGAGGUUUUGGUAAAAGUUCUUUGGAAUAGGACAUCAUAGAGGGUGAGAAUCCCGUAUUUGACCUUUACUUUCAACUUUGUGAUACACUUUUAAAGAGUCGGAUUGUUUGGGAAUGCAGUCCAAAAUGGGUGGUAAAUUUCAUCUAAAGCUAAAUAUUGGCGAGAGACCGAUAGCGAACAAGUACCGUGAGGGAAAGAUGAAAAGAACUUUGAAAAGAGAGUUAAACAGUACGUGAAAUUGUCAAAAGGGAAGCGUUUGACACCAGUGUUGUUUUUCUGAAAAUCAAUUAAAGAACUGUUUAUGCUAAGUUGUUUAGACUUUAUCAGCUAACUGUUUAGUUUUGAGCUUUUCUUUAAUGCACUUUUCAGUUAACAAGUCAACAUCAAUUUCUUUUGCUGUAAAAAAGCUUGAGGAAGGUGGCUUGAGAUUCGUCUUAAGUGUUUAUAGCCUCUUGCCUAUGCAGUCGGAGAGAUUGAGGUCUGCAGCGUAGAUCCUUCGGGGCUAAAUGCAUUUGUGCUAAGUUAUAACAUUUUAUAGACAACUUGUUGACUAUGAUUUGUCUUGUAGCUUACUCGCUUAUGUUAUUUUACCUACGCUUAGGAUGUUGAGCGCAUGUCUCUCUCU
rnacentral:rRNA from 1 species